rnacentral:lncRNA from 1 species
CCGUUUCAAUAAUCCUUACUUAACUCAUUACAAUUCCUGGUCAGGGAUUCAUGAUUCUUUCAGAUUUAACCAUAAAAUACUACAAGAUUUAUUGCUCACCAUUCUUUCUUGUACUCUACCUUGAGAGUUUUGUUGUAAUUUAAUUUUCACUUGGUUAGAGUUCUUCCUUGAGUAACUUCCUCAGUUGAAGAAGGGUUGCCUUCACACCCAUUGGCUUUUUUUCCUUUGGUACUGCGGUCCUUGCGCUUGCGCAGCAGGUGUUGAAACCACUGAGCUAAAUCCCUGACCACACCCAUUGACUUUUGCAUUACUGGAAUAGACUAACUCAUGUUUCAGCUCUUCCAAAGAAGUCUCUUGUUUUUUGCACGCAAACUUCGCUGCUGGUCCUCAGGGACUCGACAGGGAAGCUGCCCUCCACGUGACAGCUCUGUGCUGGAGUCUGUGUCAACACCAACUGGCCAGAUCACAACUAAACGGGGGAGAGAGUGCCGGGAAGUCCACUACUAUCAAACGUUUCUGCCCCCAGGAUCUCAUUUCCCUCAUGGCAAAAUGAGGUGGAUCAUAUUGGGUGGUACUGAAGACCCUUGGAGUUGGGGCACCUGUGAAGGAAGACAGCAGGUCAGGACACAUCCUGCCUUGUAGGCUCUUGCUUUUGAGUCAUGGGUGAGACACAGGAUAAGACACUGAGAUGUGACGAGUUAUCUCUUCCGGGGUCAAAGCUUAUUGAGC